rnacentral:rRNA from 1 species
GCUGACCAAACAACAAACCACAAAUAUACCCUACUGAAUUAAACAAAUCAUUUGACCAGCCCAGUAGAUGCGAUCGAACAGUCACAAGUCACAACAAAGUACCGCAAGGGAACCACCAUCAAGCAACAAACAGCAAAGACUAAUCCUUGUACCUUUUGCAUCAUGGUUUAGCAAGACCACAGGACAAGAAGAAUCACAGCCCCCCGCCCCGAAACCGAACGAGCUAUUUUUAAGCAGUCUAACGGACGCCCCCUUCUUUGUAGCAAAAUAGUGGGAAGACUUAAAAAUAGAGGUGAAAA